AUGAUUUAUAGAACAAACUAAAGGCGAUGCAGUGCAGAACGCGCUAACAUGCAAUUAUUAUUAUAUUAAUUGCAGCAAUUAGAAGCACCACUCCUCCCCCACUCCUCUACUCCCAGGCCCCAGCCCCAGAGGACACAGGGAGGGUACAGACGGAGGCCAUGACCACAUAGCAGAACACGGGGAGAGAGACCGGCCGGGGGCCGGGCCCGUGACCCGUGAGGACGAGGGCAGCAUCACCGGAGACGGAGACGGAGAGCGUCGGUGGGCGCGGCCGACCCAGGAGGAAAUUUUCACUGCGCUAUUGACUCCUGUGGUGUUGGGCCUCACUGGGCCUGGCGAGCUACGAAGCAAGAGCGUCGGUGAGAGUUGUUCGUUUUAGCUGCGCGACAGGGCGUUAACCCCAAGAGGCCCAGCGCCUCGCCGCCACCAAGCGCAGGGCCGCUACCUCCUUGCCGUCAGAUCCUCCGCCCGCCGCCGCUCUUCUCUCUGUUGGGGUGCGGUGAAGACUCCUUGCUACUCGUGUCGCAAGUGUAUUAUCGCGAAAUUGUUGUCUGGGACAACAAGAAUGCCAUAAGGAACCACAGAUAAUCGUGCGGUGGUUAACUGGUUAUGGAUAAUGACAAUGGCGAUGUGGAUGACCUGGGUUCAGGGUGGUUUGAAGUGAAAAAGAAACAUCGGUCCAGCUCAAAAUACACAUUGCAGAGGUCUUCAGGUGGUUCCAGCCAUAAAAUUCCAAACUUACUAUCACGGUCAGGUGCUAACAGUGACAGUUCAAGGUGGCAUGACAAACUGCAACACCCAUCUCCGAGCAUAAAUGCUAAUGUUGGUGUUGAUGGGUCUGGUAGUGGAGAGACAACAAAUGUUCAUGGUGAAGGGUGCAAUGAUGUAAGCACCAGCCCCAGUGGCCUGAAUAGUGGCUUAAAUGCUUCAGCCUCAGAGGAUAGAGUAGAAAGACUUGAAGAACUGGCGGUGGCUGAAAAAACAAGUGAAUCUCCCGAAAAUGAUCUGGCUGAUCAUGCAGAUCCUUCACUGCCUCAUGAACCAUCCACCUGUUCAGGCAGUCCUGCAAAAUGCGCAGAUCUUUCUCAGCAUGUAAAAUGUUCUCCAAAAACAGAGUCUGUAGGUGUUUUGUCCAUUACUCCUGUCAAGUUUGGAGACUUUGAUGAAGUUCCAGGUCUAUCAUUACCUUCAGAUUCAUACAGAGACAAUAAUACUUCUAGAGGCCACAGACAUACUGAAGAUGUUGCACAUUUAAAAAAUGUGCAAAAAGAUGCAAGUGAACUCAAACCGGAGACAGACACUUGUACUACAAUUGAUGAGGCAUCUCCAAUUAUGGUACAAGGAACAGAGACACCCAAUCAUGAUAGUGGUUUGAUAGCCUCAGUUGAUUCUGUUACCCUAUCCUGCUCCAAAAAUGAUCAUGAAGUUCCAGUUACAUCUUCAUCUGUUCCUGUUGCUUCCAUGGAAGGUAGAACGUUACUUCAUGACGAAGCACCAGCUUCUGCAGAUUUUGGAUCUGAAACUGCUGAGAGCAAAGAAAGAUUCAGGCAGAGGCUAUGGUGUUUUCUUUUUGAGAAUCUGAAUAGGGCUGUUGAUGAACUUUACCUCCUCUGUGAACUAGAAUGUGACAUGGAACAGAUUAAUGAAUCCAUACUUGUCCUUGAAGAAGCUAUUUCUGAUUUUCAAGAACUUAAAUCCAGAGCAGAGCAUUUUGAUAAUACCAAAAAAUCUCCUGGUGUACCAAAGGAGGGCAUGCCAAUGGCUGUGAAAGCUGACCAUAGGAGACCUCAUGCCUUGUCUUGGGAGGUCAGAAGAAUGACAAGUUCUCCACACAGGCAAGAAAUACUGUCUUCAUCUCUAGAGGCCUUCCAGAGAAUCCAAUUGGAACUGGCAUGCAAGCAGGCUGGUAUAGCAGCAGAAAGAUUUACAUCCAGCUCUUCUGAAAAAGUUUUGGGUAGUUCAUCAAAGCUGACUACAGCAUCGGCAACUGUUAGGAAUAUAAGUUUGAAAGUUGAGAGUCAGGUGAAACUUCCUGAUACCAGCGUGAAAAAGAUUGCUGGCGAGAAGCUAAGUAGGGAUGCAUUCAAGUCUGGUAAGUCGUAUCCACAAAGUAUGCCUUCAUAUUCUGCAAGGAGUAGAAGAGGGUCAUUAGAACCAAUCUCUGAAAUAGAGAAACACACCUUUAAGAAGGACAGGGAGUUGCUAGAAAACAAAUUUGACAGGCUCAAGUCAACCGAUGUUGUUAAAAAGACUACAGCUCAUCUUGAAAAGGAAAAGCAAAUUACAGCACCUUGGAAGUCCAUGGAUGCCUGGAAGGAGAAAAGAAACUGGGAAGAUAUACUGAAAUCUCCUGUACGGAGUUCUCGUGUUUCUCACUCUCCAGGUGUUGGAAGAAAAGUUACAGACCGCGCUCGUGUUCUACAUGACAAGUUGAUGUCUCCUGAAAAGAAAAAAAGAAGUGCUUUGGAUAUGAAAAAAGAAGCAGAAGAAAAGCAUGCGCGUGCACUGCGAAUUAGGAGUCAACUAGAGAGCGAGAGGGUUCAGAGGCUACAACGUACCUCUGAAAAGUUGCAUCGUGUCAAUGAGUGGCAGGCUGUACGCAGCUCAAAACUGAGAGAAGUAAUGAAUGCACGUCAUCAACGUGGUGAAUCUCGUCACGAAGCAUAUCUUGCUCAGGUUGCAAAAAGAGCUGGUGAUGAGAGUACUAAGGUCAAUGAGGUCCGUUUUAUAACAUCACUGAAUGAAGAAAACAAGAAAUUCUUGCUGAGGCAGAAACUUCAUGAUUCUGAGAUGCGGAGAGCUGAAAAGCUACAGGUGAUCAAAACAAAGCAAAAGGAGGACACUGCAAGGGAAGAAGCUGUUUUGGAGCGAAGGAAGUUCCUUGAAGCUGAGAAGAUGCAACGCCUUGCUGAAAUACAGCGCAAGAAAGAAGAAGCUAUUUUCAGAAGAGAAGAGGAGCGCAAAGCAUCUAGUGCUGCACGGGAAGCAAGGGCUGCAGAACAACAACGUCGAAAAGAGAUAAGAGCAAAAGCGCAACAAGAGGAAGCUGAACUUUUAGCCCAAAAGUUAGCUGAAAAACUUCGUGAAAGUGAGCAGCGGCGCAAGUAUUACCUAGAACAAAUACGAGAGCGAGCCUCAAUGGAUCUUAGGGAUCAGCCUUCACCUUUUCAGCGUCGCUUUCCAAGUAAAGAUUGCCAAAACCGUUCUAGUUCUGCUAACAGCGGAGAAGAUUCACAGACAACUGGCAAUUCCAGUGCUGCAGAUUCUAUGGUUAAGUCAUCGAAUAAUGCACAGAUAAAACGAAGGAUUAAAAAGAUUCGCCAGAGAUUAAUGGCUCUAAAGCAUGAAUUUAUUGAACCAUCCAUAGGUGAAAGUACAGGAAUCACGCACAGGUCUGGUCUUGGAGCUGCCAAAGCUAAGCUAAGUAGAUGGCUUCAAGACCUUCAGAGACUUCGUCAAGCUAGAAAAGAAGGUGCUGCCAGUAUUGGAUUGAUUGUCAGUGACAUAGCGAAGUAUUUAGAAGGGAAGGAUCUUGAGCUGCAUGCAUCAAGACAAGUUGGUUUGCUUGACUUUAUUGCGUCUGCAUUACCUGCGUCACAUACUUCAAAGCCUGGAGCUUGUCAAGUCACUGUCUACCUUUUGCGCCUGUUGAGAGUGUUGCUCUCACUUCCAGCUAAUCGAACUUAUUUUCUAGUACAAAAUCUUUUACCCCCAAUUAUUCCCAUGCUAUCAGCAUCACUGGAGAAUUAUAUUAAGGUGGCAGCAUCCAACUCUGGAAGUUCAAAUCUUUUGUCUAAUAAAACAUCAGCUGAGACUACAGAGUCAUCGGGUGAAGUGUUAGAUGGAUUUUUAUGGACUGUGGCCAUGAUCGUUGGCCAUGUACACAUCAAUGGUGAACAACUUCAAAUGCAGGGAGGUUUGAUAGAACUGAUUGUAGCUUAUCAAAUAAUUCAUCGUCUGCGAGAUCUGUUUGCACUUUAUGAUAGGCCACAGGUGGAAGGAUCCCCACUCCCAUCAUCUAUACUGUUUGGCCUCAACCUUUUGUCCGUAUUAACAUCCAAACCGGGAAAUUUCUCUACUAUCGAUUGGGAGUCCUGCAAAUGCAGGACACUAGGUGGAAAUAUAGUGCAAGAAUAUGAAUAUCUUAGUUCACAGGACAGUUUGGGGUGUCAAUCAAUGACACUUGAUCAGUUUGGUGAUGCCAAAUCGCCAACCAUAUACAGUGAACUGGCUGAAGAUAGCAAAUCCUGUAAACAACAUGACUUGAGCAUUCCUGUGGACAGAAAAUUGGUUGAUGAAGCUAGUAAAGACUUGUUAGUGAUGGCUGCUGGCCUGAACAACUCAGCAAUGCAACCAUCUGAUUUGGGCAUUACUACAGAGAAGCAUUCUGGAAAUCCUAGCCAGGGAGAUGAAAAUAACACAGUGGACAGUUUUCUUGAAGGAAGAAAGACGAAUAAUGUAUGUGCAUUGUAUAGUAGUUCAGGAAAAGGCAAUGAGAUGAACCUUAAGCAGCCUGCAAUGCUCUUACUUUCUGCACUGGCUGAGACUGGCCUUGUUACUCUACCAUCACUUUUGACUGCUGUGUUGCUCCAGGCAAACAACAACAGGUCAUCAUCAGAGCAGACAUUGGCGAUUCUUCCAUCAAAUUUUGAAGAAGUAGCCACUGGUGUAUUGAAAGUUUUGAAUAAUAUGGCACGUUUGGAUAUAACCCUUUUGCAGCACAUGCUGUCUAGAUCAGAUCUAAAGAUGGAGUUCUUCCAUUUAAUCAGCUUCCUUUUGAGUCAUUGCAUGAACAAAUGGAGAGUGCCAAACGAUCAGGAAGUUGAUGACUUGGGGAGUUGGGGUACUGGAUCAUGUUAUAGUUUCUGCCAGGCUUGACCAUUUGUGACCCUUUUGGAUAUUAUUACCAAGAAAUUUGGACAUACUGCCAUUUUACACCUGAAUCUCAUGGUUGGUUUGCUGCUUCUAGAGUCUCUGCUACUUCUUGGCUACUUUUCUUUGUUCCAUGCUGGGAACCAAGCUGUUCUUCGGUGGGGAAAGAGUCCCACUAUACUUCACAAGGUGUGCGACCUGCCAUUUGUUUUCUUCAGCGACCCCGAGUUGAUGCCCAUCUUGGCUGCUGCUCUGAUCGCUGUUUGCUACGGUUGCGAUCAGAACCUAAGCGUUGUACAGCAGGAAAUAAGCACGGAUAUGCUGCGCUGCUUGCUCAAGUCCUGCCAAACUUCAGGAUCAAAUUCUCCAGAUUCCAUUGCUGUGGAUGGUUCUGGAAACAAUUCCACUGAAAGCAUUCUGGAUAUCAGGAACUCACAGGGUGACAUCCCAACAAGGUCAAGCCGCAAAAUUGGACGGCCAGUUAUUGGGAAGGGUGUUUCAGGGGGUAUCAGAUUCAACAGAAAUAAGGUUCAGAAGGAUGGUAGGGGAACAAGAGCAAUUGACGAUGGGCCUCUGAAGCAAAGAGCUCAAGAAGCUGCAUCGAACUUCAUGUUGCAUAGAAAGAUCCCAGCUUCUUUUUUGGACAGAGCCGAGGAGUUCUUCUGCAGUGAGACAUGAAAUCGGCCCUGUGGUUCGCCUAACUUGUAUGGCACGAGCUACUGAAUUUACUGUUUUGCAAGGAUGGUGUUUCCUGACCUGAUAUUUUGAUCGAAUCUGUAGUCUACAGAUUAAAAAAAUGAGUCAUGUACGGAAACGAAUGCACUGUUUGUACAGAAACACAGAAGAAAAAACUGAUAAGAGAAUCUGAUUUCGUAUGAAAGAAAGGAACUGUCCAUAAUUUACUUA